rnacentral:lncRNA from 1 species
AAUCUUUUUCAACACCCCUCACUGUCUGAUAUGAACUUGGCGGUGGCUUUGCAAUACAAUGGCAAUACACUACGGAUGGUUCAGUAGUGCCAGGUGAUGCUUUCUUUUAUGGUCGUUCUACCAGUUUAUUUCUGCAUUUUUCCAAUCUGUUAAUUAGCAUCGUUAAAUGUAUAGCGUAUUGAAUAUUUUUGUCUUUUGAUGUUUCAAUAAAAGGACUUAUUUAUUCAUGGUUUGUUAUUUCCUUGAGCAGAUCUAAUUCUUUUGAAGAUGUUUUAUGAAAAUAUUAAAAAAUACAUGGAUGAUAAAGAAUCAAUUACGUUUAUAACCACUUCGAUAUUUUACUCGAGCAUACAACCACUCCACCAUUUGGUAUUGCCCGUUGCAAUCACAUCUGCCAAAUCCUGCAAAAAUCCUAGAUUGACUGAAGGUGGAAUACAAGACAAGCAACAUCUGUGAGAGUUUAAACAACGUGUUACAGAAAAUGCGACAAACUCCACAGGUAUUCUAUGAUAUUCCGAUCUCAAUAAUAUCAUCUGAAUGAAUAUAUUUUUUGGUAAUUUUUUUUAAUAAUAUCAUCUCAUUUAUAAUAAUUUUUUUCAUAUGCAGUUGACAUGUGCCUUAUCUAUCAUUGGCUAUUGUAUGACGAUAGUCAAUAAUAGAUCUAAGAGUCACAUUUACAACACAUACAUUGUAUGGCAAAGCUAGGUUACACAUUAGUCGAUAUCUGAUCCAAGUGGGCCAUUUUAAGGUAGUCCAAACCAGUACUGGUUUUGGUUGCAAGGUGACCGGGAGCGCAUAACUAGACUUGUCGACAUCUUAAUGCAGACAUACAAUUGUGGUGAAUGGCAGGUAACCGGGCUUCCUUGCAGACAUGCAACUUGGGGCUUGUUGCAUUCUACGGUCAUCACAAAUGUUUCUUGAUACUAUCGUGUUGAGUGUCUUAUGGAUACCUAUAAGUAUGGUAUCGAGCCAAUUAGAGACAUGAGAUUUUGGCCCCUUGUAUCUGAUAUGAUUGAUGUCCUACCUCCAAAUUAUGGUCGUAGAGCAGGUCAACCUAGGGUAAGAAGAAUGCGAACAGCAAGGGAGCCACUACUUAGAAGGCAAUCUACACCUAGGUGUUUCACAUGUGAUGUAUCUGGUCACAACCGAGCCUCAUGCGCUCAUUUGUAAGUCUUACAUUACAAGAAAAUAGGAAAACAGCCACGGCUAAGUUCACUGACUAAUUAGUAAAAUCCGUGGCUAUUUAGCCACGGGAAUUAACCACGGGAGUGGCCGUGGUUGUAGAUCUGGUGGCUACUGCUUUUUAGCCUGGAAUUGAUUUUCCGUGGCUAAAUAUUAGCCACGGUCAUUUGAUUUAACCACGGAUUGUGCCGUGGCUGUUUUUGGUAAUCGAUAAUCGGUAAAUUUUUUUAAAAAUUAACCACGGCAUAAAUCAGUGGUUAUUUAUUUUUGGUCGUGGUUAAUUUUUUGAAACAGAAAAAAGUGAAGGGCCACGGUCAAAAUCAGUUGCUAAUUUUUCGACCGUGACUAAUUAUUUUUUAGUUUAUUAGAAAAAAAUUAAAUGGUGAAAGAUGCCUAUAUUAUAAGGUCUUACACAUUCAUAUAUAUAACCUGAAAUUAAAAUUCAUUCACAUAUUCAUACAAUCUGAAAUUAACAUUCAUUUACAAAUAUCAAUUCAUAUAUCAAUUCAUACAUUAAUCCAUAAGUCUAAACUUAAAAAACAACAUCCAAAUACAUAUGAUCAUAUAACAUCCAAAAAAUAUUAAAAAACAUAUAAAUACCAAAAGACUGAUUGCCUCUGCAAUUGAAUGCUCACAGUUCACUUUGCAGUAAGAUAUUAUAAGAUCUUGAGCACUGGUGAUGUAAAUAUUGU